rnacentral:rRNA from 1 species
CCUACGGGAGGCAGCAGUGAGGAAUAUUGGUCAAUGGACGCAAGCCUGAACCAGCCAUGCCGCGUGCAGGAAGACGGCCCUAUGGGUUGUAAACUGCUUUUGCAGGAGGGUAAACGCAGAUACGUGUAUCCGUCUGAAAGUACCGUACGAAUAAGGAUCGGCUAACUCCGUGCCAGCAGCCGCGGUAAUACGGAGGAUGCAAGCGUUAUCCGGAUUUAUUGGGUUUAAGGGGUGCGUAGGCGGUCGGAUAAGUUAGAGGUGAAAUCCCGGGGCUCAACUUCGGAAUUGCCGCUGAUACUGGCCGGCUAGAGAGUAGUAGAGGUAGGCGGAAUGUAUGGUGUAGCGGUGAAAUGCUUAGAGAUCAUACAGAACACCGAUUGCGAAGGCAGCUUACCGGGCUACUUCUGACGCUGAGGCACGAAAGCGUGGGGAGCAAACAGGAUUAGAUACCCGGGUAGUC